CAAAGGGCGAACGGCGGAUGCCUUGGCUUCUAUAGGCGAUGAAAGACGCGGUAAGCUGCGAAAAAGGCCGGGGAUCGGCAAACACGAAAUGAUCCGGCCGUCUCUGAAUGGGGCAACCCGGCAGGUUGAAGACCUGUCACGUAUUAUAUACGGGCAAACUCAGGGAACUGAAACAUCUUAGUACCUGAAGGAAAAGAAAGAAAAAUCGAUUUCCCUAGUAGUGGCGAGCGAACAGGAAAUAGCCCAAACCGGCGUUGUUGCGGCAAUGCCGGGGUCAUAGGACCUCACCACAUGUUUAUCAAACGAACCGGAAGUAUCUGGAAAGUUACAUCGCAGAGGGUGAUAAUCCCGUACGGGCAAGUUUGUUAAACGACAGAGGACUCCUGAGUAGGGCGGGACACGAAGAAUCCUGUCUGAAAUCGCGGGGCCCAUCCCGCAAGGCUAAAUACUCAUAGAAGACCGAUAGAGAACCAGUACUGUGAAGGAAAGGUGAAAAGAACCCCUGACAGGGGAGUGCAACAGACCCUGAAACCGUUCGUCCACAAGCUGUCGGAGCCCCUUUAUGGGGUGACGGCGUGCCUUUUGGAUAAUGAGCCUACGAGUUGUAUCACACUAGCGAGGUUAAGUGCUUCAGGCACGUAAGCCGGAGCGAAAGCGAGUCUUAAAAGGGCGCAUAGUUACUGUGAACAGACGCGAAACCCAGUGAUCUACCCUUGGCCAGGUUGAAGUUACCGUAACAGGUGAUGGAGGACCGAACCGAUAAAAGUUGAAAAUUUUUCGGAUGAGCUGAGGGUAGGGGUGAAAGGCUAAUCAAACUGGGAGAUAGCUCGUACUCCCCGAAAUGUCUUUAGGGACAGCCUCAUAAUAGUUUACCGGAGGUAGAGCUACUGAUAGGAUGCGAGGGUUUCACCGCCUAUCAAUUCCUGCCAAACUCCGAAUGCCGGUAAAUGUUUUAUGGGAGUGAGUCGCCGGGUGCUAAUGUCCGGUGGCAAAAGGGAAACAGCCCAGACCAACAGUUAAGGCCCCCAAUUGUGGUUUAAGUUGAUCAAACGCGGUGACAUUGCAGAGACAGCUAGGAUGUUAGCUUGGAAGCAGCUAUUCAUUUAAAGAGUGCGUAACAGCUCACUAGUCGAGCGAUGUUGCAUGGAUAAUAAGCGGGCAUCAAGACCACAGCCGAAACUAUGGACUCCGAAAGGAGUGGUAGGGGAGCAUUCUAAUCUGCGCAGAAGGCAUACUGCGAGGUAUUCUGGAGCGAUUAGAAGAGAAAAUGUAGGCAUAAGUAACGAUAAUGCGGGUGAGAAUCCCGCACACCGAAAACCCAAGGGUUCCUGGACAACGCCAAUCGUUCCAGGGUUAGUCGGGACCUAAGUCGUAACCGAAGGGUGAAGACGAUGGGCAAAUGUUUAAUAAUCCAUUACCUGUUAUAUGAGAGAAGGAGUGACGUAGCAGUGACACGCUCGCCAACUGACGGAAUAGUUGGUUGAAGGACGUAGAUAAACAUACAUGUUAAGAGCUAGUAUGUGUCAAAAUCCGACAGUACGCCAAGUCUUCGGACGCGGUGAUAGUAGCGGUAAUCAUACUACCAAGAAAACCUCCGUAUCGUUAAUCAUAUAACAGCCCGUACCGUAAACCGACACAGGUGGGUGAGGAGAGAAUCCUCAGGUGCUCGAGUGAAUCAUGGCUAAGGAACUAGGCAACUUGACCCCGUAACUUCGGGAGAAGGGGCCCCUCCGUAAAAAGAGGGCGCAGAGAAAUGGCUCAGGCGACUGUUUAGCAAAAACACAUGGCUUUGCAAAUUCGCAAGAAUAGGUAUAAGGCCUGACACCUGCCCGGUGCUGGAAGGUUAAGAGGGGGUGUUAGCUGACGUAAGGAAGCGAAGCACUGAAUCGAAGCCCCAGUAAACGGCGGCCGUAACUAUAACGGUCCUAAGGUAGCGAAAUUCCUUGUCGGGUAAGUUCCGACCUGCACGAAUGGUGUAACGAUCUGAGCGCUGUCUCGGCCAUGAGCUCGGUGAAAUUGUAGUAACGGUGAAGAUGCCGUUUACCCGCAACGGGACGGAAAGACCCCGUGAACCUUUACUGCAGCUUAGCGUUGUUUCUGGAUAAUUGAUGUGUAGGAUAGGUGGGAGGCUUAGAAGCAUGUACGCCAGUACAUGUGGAGCCACUGUUGAAAUACCACCCUUUGGUUAUUUGGGAACUAACUUGAUGAAAGGACACCGCUUGGUGGGUAGUUUGACUGGGGUGGUCGCCUCCAAAAGCGUAACGGAGGCUUCCCAAGGUACACUCCGCACGAAUGGCAACCGUGCACAGAGUAUAUUGGUAUAAGUGUGCUUGACUGUGAGACCGACAAGUCGACCAGGUAGGAAACUAGGGCAAAGUGAUCCGGUGGUUCCGUAUGGAUGGGCCAUCGCUCAAAGGAUAAAAGGUACUCCGGGGAUAACAGGCUGAUCGCUCCCAAGAGCUCAAAUCGACGGAGCGGUUUGGCACCUCGAUGUCGGCUCGUCACAUCCUGGGGUCACAUCCUGGGGCUGGAGUAGGUCCCAAGGGUUCGGCUGUUCGCCGAUUAAAGUGGCACGCGAGCUGGGUUCAGAACGUCGUGAGACAGUUCGGUCCCUAUCUGUUGUGGGCGCAGGAAAUUUGCGGAGGUCUGUCCUUAGUACGAGAGGACCGGGAUGGACGAACCUCUGGUUUACCGGUUGUGGCGCCAGCUGCACCGCCGGGUAUCCAAGUUCGGUUAGGAUAAGCGCUGAAAGCAUCUAAGCGCGAAGCCAUCUCCAAGACUAGAUUUCCACUGAGGGACGUAGGAGACUACUACGUUGAUAGGCCGUAGAUGUAAAGGCAGUAAUGUCAAAGUCGAACGGUACUAAUAUCCCGAACACUUCGCUU
rnacentral:rRNA from 1 species